rnacentral:pre_miRNA from 1 species
UCUUAUGGAUGAGCAAAGUAAGUGGUUUCUUGAGAUGGGAUCUACUCCUAAUAAAGAUGCUGUGAA